GGCGAACGCUGGCGGCGUGUUUAACACAUGCAAGUCGAGCGAUGAAGCUCCUUCGGGAGCGGAUUAGCGGCGGACGGGUGAGUAACACGUGGGUAACCUGCCUCAUAGAGGGGAAUAGCCUUUCGAAAGGAAGAUUAAUACCGCAUAAGAUUGUAGUGCCGCAUGGCAUAGCAAUUGAAGGAGUAAUCCGCUAUGAGAUGGACCCGCGUCGCAUUAGCUAGUUGGUGAGGUAACGGCUCACCAAGGCGACGGUGCGUAGCCGACCUGAGAGGGUGAUCGGCCACAUUGGGACUGAGACACGGCCCAGACGCCUACGGGAGGCAGCAGUGGGGAAUAUUGCACAAUGGGGAAAACCCUGAUGCAGCAACGCCGCGUGAGUGAUGACGGUCUUCGGAUUGUAAAGCUCUGUCUUCAGGGACGAUAAUGACGGUACCUGAGGAGGAAGCCACGGCUAACUACGUGCCAGCCGCCGCGGUAA
rnacentral:rRNA from 1 species